ACUUGAUUAUCUAGAGUCUGUUCCAAGUUUAGAAAAGCUCACAUCCCUUCGCAGCUUGACGAUUGCAUUCUGUGACCAAUUAAGGUGCCAGUGGGUUAGCAAUGGCAUCCCCACACGUAUUCACCCGUCUCAAGUCCUUGGAUAUUGGUGGGUUCUGCCGUGAGCUGGAUUCAUUCCCUGCUUUUCAGGUUCUACCGCAACUUGAACAGUUAUGGAUCCGCGGGUGGCCUCAGCUCAAGUCUCUGCCUGAACAAAUUCUGCACUAGACGUCUUUGACGGAGUUGUGGAUAGCGUCCUUUGAGGGAGUGGAGACCAUUCCAAAAUGGUUGGGAAACCUUGCAUCUCUUAUAUCCUUGCGUAUUCGGAAUUGCGAGAACUCAAGUAUCUACCUUCCUUCCAAGCUAUGCACGGCCUUACCAAAUUAGGGGAGCUAUGGAUCCACAGAUGUCCCCUUCUAAGCGAAAGAUGCAGAGAGGAGAGCGGCCCAGAGUGGCCUAAGAUCUGUCAAAUUCCAAAUAUCAAAGUUGACUAAGAUAUUUUAAAACCAUCUGCAAGAAAAUAUGCAGGAGCAUUCCUCGGAUACAAGCUGUGGUCCUGAAUGAAAGGAGCAUCUAUAAUUAUUUUGGCAUAAUAUAUAUUUCAUGAGUGACUCGGAGGUUUUCACCAGAGUCAGGAGCAUCUAUUAUUAUUUUAAACAUAAUUGUCUGCAGGAGAUUUUCUGGGAAAUUCAAUUGAUUUUUCAAGGCAGACAGUUUAUGUUCAGGCGGUGGCCCUUCAACGAUUCUUCAAGACUGCCUAAGCCAAUUGACAGGCCAUGAUGUCAAUUCCAAAACCUAAGGAGCUAGCUUCAGUUCCAUGCUUAAAGGAUAAAGUUCCUGCAGUAGAUCACUCCCCAAAAAAGGAGCUUAUUCAUUCAUUGGGAUUAGAGGACUAUUUUCCAGACUGCAGUUUUCUCAGCCAAACUAAAGCAUAGUGUAACCGUAUUUCUUCAUAGUAAAACACAAAAACUAGCGCAUCUAAA